ensembl:lncRNA
UGUGAUUUGAUCCUAAAAGUGCUGUUAAUUCAACGCAUUGGCCACAUUUGUCUGAAGGAACAAGGCCAGGGUGGACAGAGCUGCUGAUGGAGGACCUGUGAUGGCCUGGAGCCCAGCCCAGCUUGUCAGCUGUAGGUGGGACUUCCCAGACCCAACCAACACAAAGCUCCGCCACAGAGAGGAGACAGCCAUGAACUUGAGUACAGGAAAAUUAGAUCCUGACACAUAUUCAAGGAACCUGCUGCAGCUGUUUCUCCAAGAACAGAGAGCCUGGGGAUGUCCCAUCUUCAGCCCAUCAAGUCCCAAGUGCUUAGUCACCUGCUCAGCCCAGACAUGAGGGAUGCCAUCAAAGAAAAGCAAACAAUAACACACCCGUGACAAAGCCAUUUACUAAAUUAAUAGAGGCAAGGAGCAUAAAACCCUGAAAGAACGAUUAAACCUUGCAUUUGCUCCAAGCCUAUUCCUUUUCCACAUCUGCAUUUGCCAGGUCAUCUGCUCCUAACAGUCUUAUCCUUUUUGUGCCAUGAACCCCUUUGGUAGUUUGGUGACUGCCAAUAACAAAUCAAAUAAAAUAAUACAUAGAAUUACUGUCUUAAUCUGUUUUCCGUUGCUAUAACAGAAUAUCACAGACUGGGUAAUUUAUUUUUUUAAAGAAAGGUUAUUUAGCUCACAGUUCUGGAGGCUGAGAAGUCCAAGAGCAUGGCACCAGCCUCUGGCGAGGGCCUUUGUGCUGCAUGAUGAUGCAUCCCAGCAUGGGACAUGGUGAGAGAGCAAGAGCGAGAGAGCCAGAGAGAGCUCCAUGUUAUAACAAAAUCACUCCUGUGAUAA